rnacentral:rRNA from 1 species
AUUGAACGCUGGCGGCAGGCCUAACACAUGCAAGUCGAACGCGUGGCGGACGGGUGAGUCAUGUCUGGGACCCUCCCCUAUGGAUGGGGAUAACUACUGGAACCUGUAGCUAAUACCGCGUACCAUAGGCUUUGCCCAGGGGGGAUUAGGUAGUAGGUGAGGUAAAGGCUCACCACGGCGACGAGCCAUAGCUGGUCUGAGAGGAUGACCAGACACACUGGAACUGAGACACGGGCCAGACUCCUACGGGAGGCAGCAGUGGGGAAUAUCGCGCAAUGGGCGCAAGCCUGACGCAGCCAUGCCGCGUGAAUGAAGAAGGCCUUCGGGUUGUAAAGUUCUGUCAGUAGGGAGGCGUUAACUACAGAAGAAGCACCGGCUAACUCCGUGCCAGCAGCCGCGGUAAUUC